AGAAGUUUUGAUCCUGGCUCACGGAUAAACGCUGCGGCGCACAUAAGACAUGCAAGUCAACGGACUUUAACACUUAGUUUCUAUUGGAGCGGUUAGUGCGGACUGGUGAGUAACACGUAAGCAACCCUAGCCUAUCAGAGGGGAACAACAAGUUAGAAAUGACUGCUAAUACCGCAUAUGCCUUAGUAACACAUGUUACAAAGGGAAAGAAAGCAAUUCGCUGAUAGAUGGGCUUGCGUCUGAUUAGAUAGUUGUGGGGUAACGGCCUACCAAGUCGACGAUCAGUAGCCGGACUGAGAGGUUGAACGGCCACAUUGGGACUGAGAUACGGCCCAGACUCCUACGGGAGGCAGCAGUCGGGAAUAUUGCGCAAUGGAGGAAACUCUGACGCAGUGACGCCGCGUGCAGGAAGAAGGGUUUUCGGAUUGUAAACUGCUUUAGACAGGGAAGAAACAAGACAGUACCUGUAGAAUAAGCUCCGGCUAACUACGUG
rnacentral:rRNA from 1 species